UACGAAGGGGGCUAGCGUUGCUCGGAAUCACUGGGCGUAAAGCGCACGUAGGCGGAUUGUUAAGUCAGGGGUGAAAUCCUGGAGCUCAACUCCAGAACUGCCUUUGAUACUGGCGAUCUUGAGUCCGGGAGAGGUGAGUGGAACUGCGAGUGUAGAGGUGAAAUUCGUAGAUAUUCGCAAGAACACCAGUGGCGAAGGCGGACUCACUGGCCCGGUAC
rnacentral:rRNA from 1 species